rnacentral:rRNA from 1 species
GACGAACGCUGGUGGCGUGCUUAACACAUGCAAGUCGAACGGAAAGGCCUCUUUCGGGGGGUACUCGAGUGGCGAACGGGUGAGUAACACGUGAGUAACCUGCCCUUGACUUUGGGAUAACUUCAGGAAACUGGGGCUAAUACCGGAUAGGAGCUCCUGCUGCAUGGUGGGGGUUGGAAAGUUUCGGCGGUUGGGGAUGGACUCGCGGCUUAUCAGCUUGUUGGUGGGGUAGUGGCUUACCAAGGCUUUGACGGGUAGCCGGCCUGAGAGGGUGACCGGCCACAUUGGGACUGAGAUACGGCCCAGACUCCUACGGGAGGCAGCAGUGGGGAAUAUUGCACAAUGGGUGGAAGCCUGAUGCAGCAACGCCGUGUGCGGGAUGACGGCCUUCGGGUUGUAAACCGCUUUCGCUCAUGACGAAGCUUUGUGUGACGGUAGUGGGUAAAGAAGCACCGGCUAACUACGUG